GCUCAACCGGGGAGGGUCAUUGGAAACUGGGGAACUUGAGUGCAGAAGAGGAGAGUGGAAUUCCACGUGUAGCGGUGAAAUGCGUAGAGAUGUGGAGGAACACCAGUGGCGAAGGCGACUCUCUGGUCUGUAACUGACGCUGAGGCGCGAAAGCGUGGGGAGCGAACAGGAUUAGAUACCCUGGUAGUCCACGCCGUAAACGAUGAGUGCUAAGUGUUAGAGGGUUUCCGCCCUUUAGUGCUGCAGCAAACGCAUUAAGCACUCCGCCUGGGGAGUACGGUCGCAAGACUGAAACUCAAAGGAAUUGACGGGGGCCCGCACAAGCGGUGGAGCAUGUGGUUUAAUUCGAAGCAACGCGAAGAACCUUACCAGGUCUUGACAUCCUCUGACAACCCUAGAGAUAGGGCUUCCCCUUCGGGGGCAGAGUGACAGGUGGUGCAUGGUUGUUGUCAGCUCGUGUCGUGAGAUGUUGGGUUAAGUCCCGCAACGAGCGCAACCCUUGAUCUUAGUUGCCAGCAUUCAGUUGGGCACUCUAAGGUGACUGCCGGUGACAAACCGGAGGAAGGUGGGGAUGACGUCAAAUCAUCAUGCCCCUUAUGACCUGGGCUACACACGUGCUACAAUGGGCAGAACAAAG
rnacentral:rRNA from 1 species